AGAAGAGUCAGCUGUGAUCCGACCCACACGCCUCCUGGUCCUGGAGGAGAACAAGUCCUGGAGGGAUGGGAGCUUGCAGCCAAUCACCUUCUCAGCAGCACGUACGAUGCGCAGGGGUUGCAUACGUGACUACUACUCUGCAAAGGAGAAAAUUGCCACCAUAAAUCAUCGUCAAAAGUAAAUGAAACUGAAGUCUCUCAAUGGAAUUGAAAAAGAUCUCGGGUUCGGGGGAACCUGCCUGCCCUGACGGAACCAUUGUUGCUGGACACACGAGAAACUCUUGGGAGAAGCAGAGUGCCUCGUGCAUGCCGGCCCUUCAGUUGAGCACGUUGAAAAUAUCGGAUAACAGGACAUCUGCUGAGUGGAGUAAACAUUGCCCUGCAGCUUUAAGGUACUCCAAAAUUGCCACAAAAUAUUUGAGGAUGCGAGCAAAGAUUUGGACUUUGUAGGCAGCAGCACCCCCUGCGACCCUGCUAUAAAAAUGGAUGGAUGAACUAAAUCGCAAACAACAUCUUGGAGAUGCCAUCUACUCUGCAUGGCCAAGUAUGAUGAAUUUGAGGACCAGAAAUAGACAAUUAGCAUUACAUUU